CGGGAAGCUCCGGAAAGCUGAGAGAUCUGACUUAGUAGCGCUUCGCUUCUUUGACCGUCGGAGGUUUCUCGUGUUGGUGACUGGAGAAAAGCUACUAGUAGAGACUUGGAAAACGACCAACUAUUGCAAUACCUCGGGAGUGAAAAGGAUGUGGGUCUGCUGCAUUCAUUGGAAGAUGCAAUACACUAGAUAGCAGACAUACCCAGAUGUCACACUUGCCCGGGAAGAAACGUUCAGGAAUGCGGGCAGCAUACAAGCCCACUCCCAAGAUGUAGAGGACUGCCAUGAGGAAG